CCCGCUGAACUUAAGCAUAUCAAUAAGCGGAGGAAAAGAAACUAACAAGGAUUCCCCUAGUAACUGCGAGUGAAGCGGGAAAAGCUCAAAUUUAAAAUCUGUCAGUCUUUGGCUGUCCGAGUUGUAAUCUAGAGAAGUGUUGCCCGUGCUGGACCAUGUACAAGUCUCCUGGAAUGGAGCAUCACAGAGGGUGAGAAUCCUGUCUUUGACAUGGACUGCCAGUGCUUUUGUGGUACGCUCUCAAAGAGUCGAGUUGUUUGGGAAUGCAGCUCAAAAUGGGUGGUAAAUGCCAUCUAAAGCUAAAUAUUGGCGAGAGACCGAUAGCGAACAAGUACCGUGAGGGAAAGAUGAAAAGAACUUUGGAAAGAGAGUUAAACAGUACGUGAAAUUGCUGAAAGGGAAACGCUUGAAGUCAGUCACGUUGACUCGGAAUCAGCUCUGCUUUUGCUGGGUGUACUUUCUUGUCAAUGGGUCAGCAUCAAUUUUGACCAUUGGAUAAAGUUGCUGGGAAUGUAGCAUCCUUUUGGAUGUGUUAUAGCCUGGUGAUGCAUACAGUGGUUGGGAUUGAGGAAUUCAGCACGCCACCAGGCCGGGUUUUGACCACGUUCGUGCUUAGGAUGCUGGCAUAAUGGCUUUAAUUGACCCGUCUUGAAACACGG
rnacentral:rRNA from 1 species